rnacentral:lncRNA from 1 species
ACCCAUUCUAUGAGCUCAGAAAAAUGAUGUCAUCUCUUGUAUCCAUUUUAUUAUCUCCCAAUUUCUAUUCUCAUUCUUUCAUAUCCAGAGGUACAUGUCAUCUGAAGCCUUGGGCCCUCCGCAUCAUAAAUCAGGAACAAAUCCAGGAGGGAGAAAGAGCAAAGGAGACAAGGACCUCGUUAAGAACACUAAGUUUCUGUAACAAAAAUGGAGUCCUUUUCUACAUUAUUUUUUGUAACUGGCUCUUUUUCCUUUUUACUGCCUCUUGGAACACUUGGAACACUUUGUAUGAGUUACUCUCUGGAACAAAAGUACUUUUCCCUUUUAUUUUUUUAAAGUGCUGUAAUUGCUAA